GGCCCAGUGACUCGAGUGAAGUCGUAACAAGGUAGCCGUACUGGAAGGUGUGGCUGGAUUACCUCCGUU
rnacentral:rRNA from 1 species